CCUACGGGGUGCAGCAGUGAGGAAUAUUGGUCAAUGGACGAGAGUCUGAACCAGCCAAGUAGCGUGAAGGAUGACUGCCCUAUGGGUUGUAAACUUCUUUUAUAUGGGAAUAAAAUGUUCCACGUGUGGGAUUUUGUAUGUACCAUAUGAAUAAGGAUCGGCUAACUCCGUGCCAGCAGCCGCGGUAAUACGGAGGAUCCGAGCGUUAUCCGGAUUUAUUGGGUUUAAAGGGAGCGUAGGUGGAUUGUUAAGUCAGUUGUGAAAGUUUGCGGCUCAACCAUAAAAUUGCAGUUGAAACUGGCAGUCUUGAGUACAGUAGAGGUGGGCGGAAUUCGUGGUGUAGCGGUGAAAUGCUUAGAUAUCACGAAGAACUCCGAUUGCGAAGGCAGUUCACUGGACUGCAACUGACACUGAGGCUCGAAAGUGUGGGUAUCAAACAGGAUUAGAUACCCGAGUAGUC
rnacentral:rRNA from 1 species